rnacentral:rRNA from 1 species
AACGAACGCUGGCGGCAGGCCUAACACAUGCAAGUCGAGCGCGCCUUCGGGUGAGCGGCGGACGGGUGAGUAACGCGUGGGAAUAUGCCCUUCUCUACGGAAUAGUCCUGGGAAACUGGGGGUAAUACCGUAUACGCCCUUUGGGGGAAAGAUUUAUCGGGGAAGGAUUAGCCCGCGUUGGAUUAGGUAGUUGGUGGGGUAAUGGCCUACCAAGCCGUCGAUCCAUAGCUGGUUUGAGAGGAUGAUCAGCCACACUGGGACUGAGACACGGCCCAGACUCCUACGGGAGGCAGCAGUGGGGAAUCUUAGACAAUGGGGGCAACCCUGAUCUAGCCAUGCCGCGUGAGUGAUGAAGGCCUUAGGGUUGUAAAGCUCUUUCAGCUGGGAAGAUAAUGACGGUACCAGCAGAAGAAGCCCCGGCUAACUCCGUG